UACGAAGGGGGCUAGCGUUGCUCGGAAUGACUGGGCGUAAAGGGCGCGUAGGCGGAUGGCACAGUCAGAUGUGAAAUUCCCGGGCUUAACCUGGGGGCUGCAUUUGAUACGUGUGAUCUAGAGUGUGGGAGAGGUGAGUGGAAUUCCCGGUGUAGCGGUGAAAUGCGUAGAUAUCAGGAGGAACACCUGUGGUGUAGACAGCUUACUGGACCAUUUCUGACGCUGAGACACGAAAGCGUGGGUAGCAAACAGG
rnacentral:rRNA from 1 species